rnacentral:sRNA from 1 species
GUACAUUUGUAUGGGGCUGUGGGGUAGAAACAGAAAUAUAAAGGUGUGACUGAGAUAAGAGGCCUGGUUUGUCCUUUUUUUACAAAAAAAAAAAAAAAAAAAAAAAGAGAGAGAGAUUUAUAUAUAUGUACCUUGUAGGUAUCGUUUUGCUUCUCUCCCUGAUGGAGCGCCUUCAUGCGCUUGUGGAGCUCUUCAGACUCCAUCCGCUACGCAAACACUGGGGAAAAUAUUGAAAGCAGGAAAAGCUUAGGGGGAAAUAUCCAGAGAUAGAUCCUAAUAAGGAACACGGUCAGUCAAACUGACACUUGACUGAGAGGGAAAUCAAAAACCAGAAAAUGAGCGACACGAGAUGAAAUCGAAGGCAUUUGUCUGAGUGGCAUAUGUAUGUACAGUACACAGCACAAAACAAAUGCAUUGACCAAAAAAAAAAAGCAAAAGCGAAGAGCCUGUCCUGCUGCUCUUGCACAAGAAGGAGAAAGGAGGCGGGGGGGAACACGGCAAACUGCACGAGCUCGGGCUCGGGGGAGAUUGCCGGCGAACGAAAGGAGAAGAACGGCAAAAAAAGAAAAGAAAAGGAAAGGAAAAAGAAAAGACGAACGCCAAUACUCUGUACAUCAGGCCAUUUUCCUUGGAUCCUCCGAGCAUGGUGGCUUGAGAAUCUCGGCGCGGAG